rnacentral:rRNA from 1 species
UAGGGAAUCUUCGGCAAUGGACGAAAGUCUGACCGAGCAACGCCGCGUGAGUGAAGAAGGUUUUCGGAUCGUAAAACUCUUUUGUUAGAGAAGAACAAGGACGUUAGUAACUGAACGUCACCUGACGGUAUCUAACCAGAAAGCCACGGCUAACUACGUGCCAGCAGCCGCGGUAAUACGUAGGUGGCAAGCGUUGUCCGGAUUUAUUGGGCGUAAAGCGAGCGCAGGCGGUUUCUUAAGUCUGAUGUGAAAGCCCCCGGCUCAACCGGGGAGGGUCAUUGGAAACUGGGAGACUUGAGUGCAGAAGAGGAGAGUGGAAUUCCAUGUGUAGCGGUGAAAUUCGUAGAUAUAUGGAGGAACACCAGUGGCGAUGGCGGCUCUCUGGUCUGUAACUGACGCUGUGGCUCGAAAGCGUGGGGAGCAAACAGG